rnacentral:rRNA from 1 species
CGCACGGGUGAGUAACGCGUAUACAAUUUACCUUAUACAGGAGGAUAGCCUUUAGAAAUGAAGAUCAAUACUCCAUGGCAUUACGAUAUGGCAUCAUAUUAUAAUUAAAGAUUUAUCGGUAUAAGAUGAGUAUGCGUCCUAUUAGUUAGUUGGUAAGGUAAUGGCUUACCAAGACUUCGAUAGGUAGGGGUCCUGAGAGGGAGACCCCCCACACUGGUACUGAGACACGGACCAG